rnacentral:rRNA from 1 species
CGCCACGGGAGUUAGUUUGGGGCUAAGAGGGUCUGGGUUUUGUUGAGUAUUAUUUUAUCUAACGAUAGGGUGUUAGUGGGAUCCAUCCACGAACCUAGUGUUGGUAACUGGGCG